GCGUAAUAGCUCACUGGUCGAGUCGGCCUGCGCGGAAGAUGUAACGGGGCUAAACCAUGCACCGAAGCUGCGGCAGCGACACUAUGUGUUGUUGGGUAGGGGAGCGUUCUGUAAGCCUGUGAAGGUGGCCUGUGAGGGCUGCUGGAGGUAUCAGAAGUGCGAAUGCUGACAUAAGUAACGAUAAAGCGGGUGAAAAGCCCGCUCGCCGGAAGACCAAGGGUUCCUGUCCAACGUUAAUCGGGGCAGGGUGAGUCGACCCCUAAGGC
rnacentral:rRNA from 1 species